rnacentral:misc_RNA from 1 species
AACUUUUGGCAAUGGAUCUCUUGGUUCUGGCAUCGAUGAAGAACGCAGCGAAAUGCGAGAAGGAGUGUGAAUUGCAGAAUUCAGUGAAUCAUCGAAUCUUUGAACGCACAUUGCGCCCUGUGGUAGUCGGCAGGGCAUGCCUGUUCGAGCGUCAUUCAACCUCUUCAAGCCCUGCUUGGUGUUGGGCGUUUGUCCCGCCUCUCUGGCGUGGACUCGCCUCAAAAACAUUGGCAGCCGUCACCCUGGCUUCGAGCGCAGCACAAUCGCGCCCGGUACCUAAGUGGCGGCUCCCAGAGGCCCACCCCCUCGGUUGACCUCGGAUCAGGUAGGGAUACCCGCUGAACUUACGCAUAUCAAUAAGCGGAGGCU